GAUGAACGCUGGCGGCGUGCCUAAUACAUGCAAGUCGAGCGAACGGACGAGAAGCUUGCUUCUCUGAUGUUAGCGGCGGACGGGUGAGUAACACGUGGAUAACCUACCUAUAAGACUGGGAUAACUUCGGGAAACCGGAGCUAAUACCGGAUGAUAUUUUGAACCGCAUGGUUCAAAAGUGAAAGACGGUUUUGCUGUCACUUAUAGAUGGAUCCGCGCUGCAUUAGCUAGUUGGUAAGGUAACGGCUUACCAAGGCAACGAUGCGUAGCCGACCUGAGAGGGUGAUCGGCCACACUGGAACUGAGACACGGUCCAGACUCCUACGGGAGGCAGCAGUAGGGAAUCUUCCGCAAUGGGCGAAAGCCUGACGGAGCAACGCCGCGUGAGUGAUGAAGGUCUUCGGAUCGUAAAACUCUGUUAUUAGGGAAGAACAUAUGUGUAAGUAACUGUGCACGUCUUGACGGUACCUAAUCAGAAAGCCACGGCUAACUACGUG
rnacentral:rRNA from 1 species